rnacentral:tRNA from 1 species
GCUGGGGUAGCCAAGCCCGGACCAAGGCGGUAGUCUCGAAAACUACUGGUGAUUUCACCUCGGGGGUUCAAAUCCCUUCCCCAGCG